rnacentral:rRNA from 1 species
CCUCGCAACAACGCAGAAGCCACCUGAUCCCAUGCCGAACUCAGAAGUGAAACGUUGUAGCGCCGAUGGUAGUGUGGGGUCUCCCCAUGUGAGAGUAGGGAACUGCUAAGC